UACGUAGGCAGCGAGCGUUGUUCGGAGUUACUGGGCGUAAAGCGUGCGUAGGCGGUGUCUUAAGUUUGUUGUGAAAUCUCCCGGCUUAACCGGGAGGGUGCGGCGAAUACUGAGAUGCUGGAGUGCCGGAGAGGUAAGCGGAAUUCCUGGUGUAGCGGUGAAAUUCGUAGAUAUCGGGAGGAACACCAGUGGCGAAGGCGGCGACCUGGACGGACAUUGACGCUGAGACGCGAAAGCGUGGGGAGCAAACAGG
rnacentral:rRNA from 1 species